AAAUAUCCUUUUUUGAAACAUUUUGUACAAUGCAAUAGUCUAACCCACGUUCUUUGGGGGUUUUUGUAGAUGAUUUUGUUCUCCUGAAUGUGUCGUUUGCUUUCCUGUUCCUUGAGAGUUGCGGUUGUGGGUUUUUGGGGUCAAGCACAUUGUAACAAAAGGCUUAGAUUUCACUUCCACUCUAGGAGUUUGAGGUCUUGGUUUUGUUUCAGGCGAACCAAGAGUAAAAAAAAAAAAAAAAAAAAAAAACACUUUGAGAUUUCUGCUGGACUCCGAAGGCCAGGGAAGUUCAGAAACCUGAAACGCUCGAUCACAAUUCCAAGAUAAAACUGCAAGGAACUAAAUGAGGGAUAAAAAUGAAGAUUUGGACAGGGAUUCUAAACCAGAAUACUCAAACACAGAAAUUAUUUUUCAAGGGUGUUGCCCUCCCAUCCAGGAGGAACAGCUUUCUUCUCUCAGCCCUGUUCCACCCCGACUGACCCACAGCAGCGCCGCCUUCCUUUUAUACUGACUCCUCACACCUGCUCUGAAUUAACGGGGCAUCGUCCCGUGCAGGAGCAGUUUCUGACUGCUGUCCCGCAUCCUUGUACCACCAAAAUCGACUUCCCCUUGUGUGCUGUACUCUCUGGUUUUUAAUGUUUGCAUUCAAUGAAAACUCUCGCCAUUUGUUUUUUUCCUUUUGAGGUGAUCAUUGUGAACAUUUGAAAGGUGUGUUAUAGUCAUUAAUUUGUAUAAUGCCAUUUUUAAUUAUUAUUAUUAAAAUAACUAUAUAUUUAUUUUUUUCAUGAUUAUAAUAAUUUAAAAACUUCACCCUAGAUUUGAACUCCUAACCUUCAGCCCCAGCAGCUCCGCCCUUACCUGUUGUGCUAUAGGCAAUGUGAUGAGGCUGGAUGUUGAACUACAGGUAUAUAUUACCCCCUCUAUUGGCCACAGAAGGAAUAAAACACACAGUUAUGCUCUGGAUUUGAACCCAUGUCUCCAGGGCAGACAGCAGCAAUGCAAACACUGUGCUUUAACCCACUACACCACCACGACGUUCACUGUGCAGAUGUGCCUCAAUCAUUAUCACCUAUGAGUCUCUCCUUCCCCUCUGAGUGCGACUGGGAGGUUGUGCGUCUCAUACAAGGCUAAUGGAGCCUGUUUAUCACACAACAGACUUUCAUUGGGUGGAGCAGCCAGGUUAGUGGGUUCAGGGUUUAUUUGGGGGGGGUGUGUGUGGGACAACUGAGCCCUCCUAAAUACCCAAGACUUGUUCUUUCAUUAACUGAAUAUGAAUGUGUUUUUAUGUCAGUACUACACCAUCCAGCAGCCCUCUCUCGCUCUCUCUUCCCCAUGACCACCCCCUUCUCUUCCCAACCCCAAUGCAAUGCUCUCUGUGUUACCUGCAGAGGAAACAUACUGAACAAUAAAAGCCAAGCAACACUGAUUUCCUCGUGUCUGGUGU